AUUGAACGCUGGCGGCAGGCCUAACACAUGCAAGUCGAGCGGGGUUUUCGGACCUAGCGGCGGACGGGUGAGUAAUGCGUAGGAAGCUACCCGAUAGAGGGGGAUACCAGUUGGAAACGACUGUUAAUACCGCAUAAUGUCUACGGACCAAAGUGUGGGACCUUCGGGCCACAUGCUAUCGGAUGCGCCUACGUGGGAUUAGCUAGUUGGUGAGGUAAUGGCUCACCAAGGCGACGAUCCCUAGCUGGUUUGAGAGGAUGAUCAGCCACACUGGAACUGAGACACGGGCCAGACUCCUACGGGAGGCAGCAGUGGGGAAUAUUGGACAAUGGGCGCAAGCCUGAUCCAGCCAUGCCGCGUGUGUGAAGAAGGCCUUCGGGUUGUAAAGCACUUUCAGUAGGGAGGAAGCGUUGUGUGUUAAUAGUACACAGCGUUGACGUUACCUACAGAAGAAGCACCGGCUAACUCUGUGCCAGCCGCCGCAGUAAUAC
rnacentral:rRNA from 1 species